GAUGAACGCUAGCUACAGGCUUAACACAUGCAAGUCGAGGGGAAACGGCAUUGAGUGCUUGCACUCUUUGGACGUCGACCGGCGCACGGGUGAGUAACGCGUAUCCAACCUUCCCAUUACUGUGGGAUAACCUGCCGAAAGGCAGACUAAUACCGCAUAGUCUUCGAUGACGGCAUCAGAUUUGAAGUAAAGAUUUAUCGGUAAUGGAUGGGGAUGCGUCUGAUUAGCUUGUUGGCGGGGUAACGGCCCACCAAGGCGACGAUCAGUAGGGGUUCUGAGAGGAAGGUCCCCCACAUUGGAACUGAGACACGGUCCAAACUCCUACGGGAGGCAGCAGUGAGGAAUAUUGGUCAAUGGACGGAAGUCUGAACCAGCCAAGUAGCGUGCAGGAGGACGGCCCUAUGGGUUGUAAACUGCUUUUGUAUGGGGAUAAAGUUAGGGACGUGUCCCUAUUUGCAGGUACCAUACGAAUAAGGACCGGCUAAUUCCGUG
rnacentral:rRNA from 1 species